AGCACAACGAGCAGGGGCAACAACACAACUGAGGGCAACAAUAACAGCCCCAGCACAGACAGGCAUCUACAGAUGGACUUUUCAGGAGGGGAAAAGGAGGAACACGAAGGUAUGUCUGUGUGAGCGUAUCGGACCCCGGUCUGUGGAAGAGCAGUAGUGCUCUUAAGCGCUAAGACGUCUCUCCAGCCCCGAGGAAACGGGUUUUUUAAGGGUCUUCAAAAUAUAGAUGAGGCACAGAAUAAAGCAUCCUGGAUUUCUGUCACCCUUAGGCAGCACCAGAUUUAAAGCGGACACGGAAAUCUCUCGUACACUGCCACCCUCUAGAGAACGGGGAUUCACAAGGAUCUCAGGAAGCUGCUCCUGUAGUCCCCUGGUCAUAAAAUGCUUAUAUUCGAUCUUGAAUCCUCACCCUCUAUUCGAUCUUGAAUCCUCACCCUCAGGUUCCAGCCUGGUUCCCUCUGCACUGCCUAAAUAGCCCUGCCCGAGGGGCGAAAAGCAGCAGCUUCUUUACCAAAUGCAAGUUGUGAAAAGGCUCCCAGCGGGAGAUAAACACACGGCCUUCGGUUGCUUGGAUCUCUUGUAUUCCUGCACAAAUGUUUAGACAGGAAAUGGGCUCCUGUCCAAUUUUCCAAACUCCUCUGUUCCUCCACAAGUUCGCAGAGAGAUCCGCUCAUCUUUUUAGAGCCUUUAUUUAACUAUGUUAGUACCUCCGUCUAUAUACGUUACAGCUAACUACACGUGUUAGUGUGUCUAGUCAACAUAUUUUUGAAUUAGAUAACUACUUACUGGUCUUAGGUUUCUGACUUGUUGCAGAAAAACCUGGAACAUUGGGGGUGCAUCAGAAAACUAGCAGUGCUUUUGUACGCGUUACAUAUCUGUGUGUGCGUGGUGUAUGUGUGUGCACACGCUUGCAGGUGUGUGAGGGGAGCACACUUGAGGGUUCACGUGUGUGAGUGUGGAGGCCAGAAGUUGACAUCACGCCCUUAACUUCUUGCCACCUUAUUAUCCACUUAUAAAAAAAGAUUAUUUAUUUUUAUUACAUGUGUAUGCGUGCCUGCUGUUACGUGUAUGUGUGUACCACGUGGAGGCCAGAAGAGGGCGUCUAAUUCCCUGGAACUGGAGUUACAGACACUAGUGAGCAACUAGAUGGGGUAUUAGGAGCCAAACCCAGGUCCCAAACAGUGAGUGUUCUUAAUCACUGAGCCGUCUCUCCGGCCCCCUAUUUAUUUAUUUUUAAUGAAUUUAUUGGCAAGAUGAUUCGAUGGCUAAGAGGUUAUAUCACUCUUGUAGAGGACCUAGCUGGUUCCCAGCACGCACAUGGUGGUUCAUAACUGCCUGUAGCUGAAGCUCCAGGAGAUCUGAGUUUCUGUCCUUUGUGGGCUUAUGUAUAACACACACACACACACACACACACACACACACACUGAUGAUGAUGUUAGGAAUUUUCUAGACUGGGUUAACUGAUGUGGGACAUCCACCCUAAAUGUGGGUGGCAUCAUUCCAUGGGCUGGGAAUAAAAAGGAGAAAGCCAUCUGAGGGCCAGCGUUCACCCCUCUGUGUAGAUACAAUGUGACCAGAUGUCUCCAUCCUGCCACGCCAGCUGCUCCGCCAUGGAACCCUAAGACUGUGAGCCAGACUUGACUUUUCUUUCCUUUAGUUGUGCUUGUCAAAUGACGGUCACAACAAUGAGAAAAUUAACCAGUGCAAACCCUUGUUCUUCAAGCGUCUCCCACACUCAGGGAAGACAGUGCCUGCAGACUUCAGAAGGUUGCCCCCUCCUCUCCGGUCUCCAUUGAGCCUCACCCUGCAGAGCUGUGAAACAGUGCUGUCUGUGAACUCAUUGAGCCUCACCCUGCAGAGCUGUGGAACAGCGCUGUCUGUGAACUGUGACCUUUGUCUCCUCCUCCCAAAUCAGCACGUUUUUGAGGAAGGAGGAGUAAUGCUCAGAUGAAACCUGUCUUCCUUUUAAAAUUCAGAAAUCCUUUUAAACAACAAAGAAAAUACUCCUUUUUGUUGCUGUUACUGGCAACAAAGUGACCCAUUAGUAGUUUUAAAAAUCUGCACACAAAACAAUGGGUUUCAUUGUCCUAUUUCCAUUCAAUUUUUAUUGCUACAGUUCCUCCCCUCCAAUGACGGCACCUCCCAUACACCAGCCGAGAGAGCUCACUUGAACCUAUGGACGCUUCAAGCGUAGCCUCUUUAAGCAACGCCCUUCCACGUCCCCUCUAGACUCUCCGUCUCCUCAGUUAAGCGGCUCCCCCUUCCCUCUGUCUUCAUGGGCUCAAAACAAGAACACCUCAGAGCGGAGAAUCUGCGACCAUCUCAUUGUUCGCAUGUGGACAGCCAUUCCCAGCACCUGUUAUAGGAAAGGGUCCCAUCUGUCCAGUGUAUAUUUUUGACACUUUCAUUACAACUUUGGACCUCAGGACACUUGCUGCCGGCCGGGAAGACCUGAGUUUCAUCCCUGGAACACAAGUGGUAGAUAGAGAGAACUGGCUCUUCAAGUUCUCCCCUGACCUCCAUGUGAGCGCAGAAACGCUUCUGGAGGGUGAAGACAACUUUGAGGAGUUGAUUCUCUCCUCUCACCUACAUGUGGGCCCAGGGAUCACACUCAGGCACCAAGCUUGCUGGGCAGGUACUUCUCCUCACUGGGGCAGCGUUCUGCCCCCCCCCAUAGUCUGUAAAGUUUUUAUACAUUGCUAUAAACUAUAGCUAUUGCUAUA